GAUGAACGCUGGCGGCGUGCCUAAUACAUGCAAGUCGAGCGAACAGACGAGGAGCUUGCUCCUCUGAUGUUAGCGGCGGACGGGUGAGUAACACGUGGAUAACCUACCUAUAAGACUGGGAUAACUUCGGGAAACCGGAGCUAAUACCGGAUAACAUGUUGAACCGCAUGGUUCAACAGUGAAAGACGGUCUUGCUGUCACUUAUAGAUGGAUCCGCGCCGCAUUAGCUAGUUGGUAAGGUAACGGCUUACCAAGGCAACGAUGCGUAGCCGACCUGAGAGGGUGAUCGGCCACACUGGAACUGAGACACGAUCCAGACUCCUACGGGGGGCAGCAGUAGGGAAUCUUCCGCAAUGGGCGAAAGCCUGACGGAGCAACGCCGCGUGAGUGAAGAAGGUCUUCGGAUCGUAAAACUCUGUUAUUAGGGAAGAACAAAUGUGUAAGUAACUAUGCACGUCUUGACGGUACCUAAUCAGAAAGCCACGGCUAACUACGUG
rnacentral:rRNA from 1 species